GAAUCUCUUGGUACUCCGCUAAUGGUUUCCUCAAGGAAUCGAGGAUGAUAACUCAGCUUCUAUCAGGAUCAAUUACUAUUAGGAUCCAGUGGUAACUGUGUGCGUAAAUAUUCAUUAGUCAGAUAAGGAAAAGGAUACUAAGAUAGACGGUAUACGUAUGUACAAACACUUACUUGAAGUUGUAUGGAAAUAGUAUGUAGCUCUUGCCACCUUG
rnacentral:lncRNA from 1 species